UUUUAACACUUUUUGCAUUAUAGAGAUGCUGUCUUAGAUGAGUUUGUCAUCUUUUGGAGAUAGCUAUAUUACCUGAAUCACUUCUUUUAUCCUAUUCUAUAAGUAAUAGAAUGGAAAAACAAAACAAAACAAAACAAAAACACCACCAACAAAACACUUUAGUAACACUUGAAAUGAUAACAUGCAGAUAUUUUCUAUGAUAUAACUUUUUUUUUUGUGGUAUAUAUAAAUUGUAUUUUCACAUUUUACAGGAUUGGUAAUCUAUAUACUAAGAACUGAGGAUUCAUUUCUGUAUCUUGCAAGCUGAACAAGGGAAUACAGGAAAUCUGUAGAAAAACAGCUUCAUUGUGACAGUGUGACUGGACUUUUGGAUGUGUUUUCACAAAUGUGAAAAACAAAACAGAACAACAACAACAACAAACAGACAAAUGCUAUUCAGUAUAUACUGUCUGUUGCACGCCUACUUGUCGUGUACAAUACUGUAUUCUGUUCCUUCUCAGCUAAUGUGAGGGAUAGAGGGUCACCAUCAGUGUCAUGCUCAGAAAGAGUCGCUGUGCUAAUUGAAAAAGUACACUUAAUCCAUCACAAAACUGAGAGAAGAGGUAUCCACAGGAACAUUAUCAGUCAGCUGCCACUGACUGGAAUCCUGGAAAAGAACACAAAACCUUAAUCUACUGAAUAAAGACACUGAUC
rnacentral:lncRNA from 1 species